rnacentral:sRNA from 1 species
CAACUUUUUUAUAGGACUAAAAACUUUAACUGGAAGUAAAAUGGGAACAUUUGUAAAAAAGAAUAAAUUGAAUAAUAGUUCGAAGUGAUUUAAAUUUGGGCAAAAAAUUUGAUCAUAACUUAAU